CUGAUUUUACCCAUUUCAUCUUGCUCCUCAGACUUUGCUUUGCUGUACGUUAACAAGCAGGCACACUGCAGCAGACAGGCAGACAGGAAAUGUCCCUCUGUCCGCGGGAAGGGGUGACACAGUGAUUUCUGUGUGGUAGAUGCUGUGUGUGUUGUUGAGGGGAGAGGGAUAACUUCCCGUCAUCCAGAUGCCAGAAAGGGACUUGGAUUCCUCGCCUUUAAUACUCAACUGAGUAUUCAUCACCUGGGCUCAGCCCUCAUGGUGGCUAGUCGGUUUAGUUAGAGGAGGUCACACGGGUAAGCAUUCCAGGGUCUCCAGACACACAAGGUGCCAAGAUGGAAAGCAGGCUGUGGGUUGGUGAUGGAUUCACACUGGGUUUGCCUCCGGAAGUGGGACAGCAAUUUCUCAAGAACUCCAAAUACCAGGAGCUCCAAUGAAAGAAGGUGCUUGAAGGAAAAAGCUGUGCAAAUCGAAGACGAUUGAUUUCUCAGAACCACCAGACACCUGAGGUCAUGGGUUAAGCAGUUUGCAGAUCUCUUUUGGAAGAAAACCAGGGCCUCAGAGAAGUAGCUCUCAGGAUUUUCUUACCCAGAAUGCAAGCCAUUAGCAUCCAUCUGUGGGCAAGAGCACUUACGUGACUGUUUUGGUGAAUUGCAAACGUCUGAAUACAAACUAGGGUGGGAGUGACAUGUCCUCCCUCUGCCUGGAAAGGCCACAGCUAUGGAGGAAGGGGACGAGCUUGUGUGGCUUCACACUGCAGACCCUACCAACUUCCUGAAGUUGUUCUCUGACUUCCCUCUCACACCAGAUGCCUCUUCUUAGCAGAAAAAACAGAAGCAACAAGCAUUGACAAGAGGAACCAGAAUUUUCAGAGGAGGUUUUGUGCUUCAACUUGUUGUGCCCAGAUGGUGACCCCUGAGAGAGACCACCGAAGACCAAAGAGCAUGCCGGAAUGCAAAAGCAAGGUUUAUUGAAGCAGUUCAAGCCCUGCGGCAGGGACCUUGUCAAGCCAUCCAACACAAUCGAGGCUGGAGGAGGUGCCCGCCCCUCUGCAAGCUCAGGUUUU